GUGCUUGCUCCAGCAGCACACACACUAAAAUCGGAAGGAUACAGAGAAGAUUAUGGUCCCUGCGCAAGGAUAACAUGCAAAUCCAUGAAGCGGUCCAUACUUUU
rnacentral:snRNA from 1 species